UACGUAGGGUGCGAGCGUUGUCCGGAAUUAUUGGGCGUAAAGGGCUCGUAGGCGGUUUGUCGCGUCGGGGAGUGAAAACCAGGUGCUUAACACCUGGCUUGCUUUCGAUACGGGCAGACUAGAGGUAUUCAGGGGAGAACGGAAUUCCUGGUGUAGCGGUGGAAAUGCGCAGAUAUCAGGAGGAACACCGGUGGCGAAGGCGGUUCUCUGGGCCGAUACUGACACUGAGGAGCGAAAGCGUGGGGAGCGAACAGG
rnacentral:rRNA from 1 species